ACAGAGAAUAGUUUAAUUUAGAACGGUAGUUUUGGGGACUAUUGGAGUGAGUGGGGAGUCUUACUUUUCUGA
rnacentral:tRNA from 1 species